rnacentral:rRNA from 1 species
GACGAACGCUGGCGGCGUGCUUAACACAUGCAAGUCGAACGGAAGGCCCUGCUUUUGUGGGGUGCUCGAGUGGCGAACGGGUGAGUAACACGUGAGUAACCUGCCCUUGACUUUGGGAUAACUUCAGGAAACUGGGGCUAAUACCGGAUAGGAGCUCCUGCUGCAUGGGGGGGGUUGGAAAGUUUCGGCGGUUGGGGAUGGACUCGCGGCUUAUCAGCUUGUUGGUGGGGUAGUGGCUUACCAAGGCUUUGACGGGUAGCCGGCCUGAGAGGGUGACCGGCCACAUUGGGACUGAGAUACGGCCCAGACUCGUACGGGAGGCAGCAGUGGGGAAUAUUGCACAAUGGGCGGAAGCCUGAUGCAGCAACGCCGCGUGCGGGAUGACGGCCUUCGGGUUGUAAACCGCUUUCGCCUGUGACGAAGCGUGAGUGACGGUAAUGGGUAAAGAAGCACCGGCUAACUACGUG